AUGGUGAAGACCCAGCAAGUUUUGUUGGCUGUUCUGUGGCUUCGGUUACACUGUAAAACAGGGGUAAGUGGCAAAAAUGGUGUGGAGCAGCGUCCUCGGUACCUGAGUGCCCUGGAAGGAGACUUUGUCACAAUCAACUGCAGUUACUCAGGAGAAAUGACCACCUUACAGUGGUUGCAACAGAAUCCUGGAGGAAGUGUUGUCUCCUUGUUUAUACUGAGCUUAGAGAUGAAGAAGAAAGGAAGAGUAAGCGCCACAAUCAACAGAAAAGAACGUCACAGCUCCCUGCACAUCACAGCUUCCCAGCCCCGAGACUCUGCCACCUACUUUUGUGCUGUAGAGACACAGUGCUUCCCCAGGCAUCUGGAGCCUGUACCCAAACUCUAAAGCUGAAAGGCAU